rnacentral:misc_RNA from 1 species
GUGAGCGCGCUGCCUCCCGCGGCGCGCCCUCGACACAUCGUUGGAGGCGCAUGCCUACGAAAUGUCACUUACCUACACACGAGUUCUGAUAACGUCUGAUUAGCAAUUACUACCGGCUAGAAGCACGAUCGGUGCCACUAUUGUUUAUAACUUGCUUUUAUCAUACCGAACUAUCUUUUUGUGAAGUUUACGCGAAACAGUGCCUAUUGCAUAAAUGGAAUGUGUAUUUAAAAAAAGAAACCUUGAAAAUAUGAUGUUCUCUUUUUGUGCGAUUUUUUUAUUAGUUAAUUGCGUUGCCGGUAAUUAUUGCAAACGCAUGUGUUCGAGUAUGUUGUUUAUUGUUUGCGUUUGAAGCACUUACUUUGUGACUUUUACAACUAUUGCAGGAAGUUGCUGUUAAUGUAACGAGUGUACGUACAGUUAAUUUGUUUAGUUUGUUUUAAUAUACGCGUGAUAUCAAUGAUUAUGAUAAAAAUGAUUGUGGUCUUCAAUCCGGUUUCUGUUUUGGCUGAUUUUGACCUUGACGCAAAUUUCAAACUUCGAAAAAUAGUUUCUGCAACAGAUAGUGACUGUGAGAGUCAAUUACAUAUCUCCGUGUAAAUCACGGUGUGAUAAACGUUAAAAGAAAUCGGUGAUAAUGAUAUAAGUUGGGAUGAGUGGUCGUCACCAACUCCGUGUGCCGGAGCUGCGCGUGAGCGGGGCGCCGGCGGAGGACGAGGCGGAUAAUGCGCCUACAGCUCUGCCACCCUUCGCCCUUACACUCGCUUCGAUUCCGAGACGUAGACAUUCAUGGAUAUGUGG